UGGGGAAUAUUGCACAAUGGGCGCAAGCCUGAUGCAGCCAUGCCGCGUGUGUGAAGAAGGCCUUCGGGUUGUAAAGCACUUUCAGCGAGGAGGAAGGUGGUGAGCUUAAUACGCUCAUCAAUUGACGUUACUCGCAGAAGAAGCACCGGCUAACUCCGUGCCAGCAGCCGCGGUAAUACGGAGGGUGCAAGCGUUAAUCGGAAUUACUGGGCGUAAAGCGCACGCAGGCGGUUUGUUAAGUCAGAUGUGAAAUCCCCGGGCUCAACCUGGGAACUGCAUUUGAAACUGGCAAGCUAGAGUCUCGUAGAGGGGGGUAGAAUUCCAGGUGUAGCGGUGAAAUGCGUAGAGAUCUGGAGAAUACCGGUGGCGAAGGCGGCCCCCUGGACGAAGACUNACGCUCAGGUGCGAAAAGCGUGGGGAGCAAAACAGGAUUAGAUACCCUGGUAGUCCACGCUGUAAAACGAUGUCGAUUUUGGAGGUUGUGCCCCUUGAGGCGUGGCUUCCGGAGCUAACGCGUU
rnacentral:rRNA from 1 species